rnacentral:rRNA from 1 species
GACGAACGCUGGCGGCGUGCUUCAUACAUGCAAGUCGAACGAGAAGCUGACUUCGGUCAGUGGAAAGUGGCGGACGGGUGAGUAAUAUGUAGGAAAUCUGCCUUUAGGAGGGGGACAACAGAGGGAAACUUCUGCUAAUACCCCAUAUGAGCGUAGCUGAAAUGCUAUUCUUGAAAACUCCGGUGCCUAAAGAUGAGCCUGCAUCUGAUUAGCUAGUUGGUAGUGUAAUGGACUACCAAGGCGACGAUCAGUAGCUGGUUUGAGAGGAUGAUCAGCCACAAUGGGACUGAGACACGGCCCAUACUCCUACGGGAGGCAGCAGUAGGGAAUUUUGCGCAAUGGGCGAAAGUCUGACGCAGCAACGCCGCGUGAACGAUUAAGCCCUUCGGGGUGUAAAGUUCUGUCAGUGGGGACGAAACUUGACGGUACCCACAGAGGAAGCACCGGCUAACUCCGUG